GAUGAACGCUGGCGGCGUGCUUAACACAUGCAAGUCGAACGAUGAACCUCACUUGUGGGGGGAUUAGUGGCGAACGGGUGAGUAACACGUGAGUAACCUGCCCUUAACUCUGGGAUAAGCCUGGGAAACUGGGUCUAAUACCGGAUAUGACUCCUCAUCGCAUGGUGGGGGGUGGAAAGCUUUAUUGUGGUUUUGGAUGGACUCGCGGCCUAUCAGCUUGUUGGUGAGGUAAUGGCUCACCAAGGCGACGACGGGUAGCCGGCCUGAGAGGGUGACCGGCCACACUGGGACUGAGACGCGGCCCAGACUCCUACGGGAGGCAGCAGUGGGGAAUAUUGCACAAUGGGCGAAAGCCUGAUGCAGCGACGCCGCGUGAGGGAUGACGGCCUUCGGGUUGUAAACCUCUUUCAGUAGGGAAGAAGCGAAAGUGACGGUACCUGCAGAAGAAGCGCCGGCUAACUACGUGCCAGCAGCCGCGGUAAUACGUAGGGCGCAAGCGUUAUCCGGAAUUAUUGGGCGUAAAGAGCUCGUAGGCGGUUUGUCGCGUCUGCCGUGAAAGUCCGGGGCUCAACUCCGGAUCUGCGGUGGGUACGGGCAGACUAGAGUGAUGUAGGGGAGACUGGAAUUCCUGGUGUAGCGGUGAAAUGCGCAGAUAUCAGGAGGAACACCGAUGGCGAAGGCAGGUCUCUGGGCAUUAACUGACGCUGAGGAGCGAAAGCAUGGGGAGCGAACAGGAUUAGAUACCCUGGUAGUCCAUGCCGUAAACGUUGGGCACUAGGUGUGGGGGGACAUUCCACGUUUUCCGCGCCGUAGCUAACGCAUUAAGUGCCCCGCCUGGGGAGUACGGCCGCAAGGCUAAAACUCAAAGGAAUUGACGGGGGCCCGCACAAGCGGCGGAGCAUGCGGAUUAAAUUCGAUGCAACGCGAAGAACCUUACCAAGGCUUGACAUGAACCGGGAAAUACCUGGGAAACAG
rnacentral:rRNA from 1 species